GGCUCUGUGGCGCAAUGGACAGCGUGUUGGACUUCUAGGCUCUUGGAAGGCAUUCAAAGGUUGCGGGUUCGAGUCCCGCCAGAGUCG
rnacentral:tRNA from 1 species